GCUCUGGGCUACACACGUGCUACAAUGGCCGGUACAGACGGACGCAAAGCCGCGAGGUGGAGCAAAUCCUAAAAAGCCGGUCUCAGUUCGGAUUGCAGGCUGCAAUUCGCCUGCAUGAAGUCGGAAUCGCUAGUAAUCGCAGGUCAGCAUACUGCGGUGAAUACGUUCCCGGGCCUU
rnacentral:rRNA from 1 species